rnacentral:rRNA from 1 species
UAGGAUUCCCCCAGUAGCGGCGAGCGAACAGGGAUCAAGCCCAGCACCGAAUCCCGCGGUCGGAGACGGCCGCCGGGAAAUGUGGUGUUCGGGAGGGUCCGAUUAUCCCGGCGAAGCGCGGCGAGUCCAAGUCCUUCUUGAAUGGGGCCACUUACCCGUAGAGGGUGCCAGGCCCGUAGCGACCGCCGAGCCCGCCGGGAGGAUCUCUCCUCAGAGUCGGGUUGCUUGAGAGUGCAGCUCUAAGUGGGUGGUAAACUCCAUCUAAGGCUAAAUAUGACCACGAGACCGAUAGCGAACAAGUACCGUGAGGGAAAGUUGAAAAGAACUUUGAAGAGAGAGUUCAACAGUACGUGAAACCGUCCAGGGGUAAACCUGAGAAACCCGAAAGGUCGACGGGGGAGAUUCAACUGCCUCGUCGCAGGCGGCGUCGUGUGCACGGCGAGGCGGCGGUUCGACGUGGCUCCGGCCGCGCGCGUUCCCGCCGCUCCUGUCGCGCGCCGUCCGCCCGCGAAGGCAUGCACUUCUCCCCCUGUAGGACGUCGCGACCCGUUGGGUGCCGGACUAAGGCCCGCGGUGGCAGACCGCUCGCGUUCGCGCGAGCGAACCCGCGGUGCAUCCUGUCCGGCCGCCCGACGGUAUUUUACAGUGGCACGGGGCCGCCCGCUAUUCAGGGCGUCCGGCCCGCUGCGAGUUGCUGCGCGGGUUGAAACCCGGUCGCCGGACCUGGUCCGAGGCCGGGCCCGCGCCGCUGCCGGCGGCGGUGUCCCCGGACAGACCCCGGAACCGGUGCCUGCGAAGGUGCCGCGUGCCGGUCAGCGACGCUUUAGCUUUGGGUACUUUCAGGACNNNNNNNNNNNNNNNNNNNNNNNNNNNNAGCAUGUGCGCGAGUCAUUGGGACAGCACUAAGCCUAAAGGCGUAAUGAAAGUGAAGGUGCGGCCGCCUGCGUUUCGGCGCACGGCGAGCCGGCUUAGGGAGGACGGGUCGCGCACAUCGGAGCGAUCCGUGUACCGCGGCCCUGCACUCCCGGCGCGUCUCGUGCUCACAGCGAGCUGAGGCGCAGCCAGAGCGUACACGCUGGGACCCGAAAGAUGGUGAACUAUGCCUGGUCAGGACGAAGUCAGGGGAAACCCUGAUGGAGGUCCGUAGCGAUUCUGACGUGCAAAUCGAUCGUCGGAACUGGGUAUAGGGGCGAAAGACUAAUCGAACCAUCUAGUAGCUGGUUCCCUCCGAAGUUUCCCUCAGGAUAGCUGGCGCUCGAUAAUCGUAGCGAGUCUCAUCCGGUAAAGCGAAUGAUUAGAGGCAUUGGGGUCGAAACGGCCUCAACCUAUUCUCAAACUUUAAAUGGGUGAGAUCUCCCGCUUGCUCGAACAAAGUGCUUGCACAUGAAGCGGCGAGACUCACGAUCAG